rnacentral:rRNA from 1 species
GAUGAACGCUAGCGGCAGGCUUAACACAUGCAAGUCGAGGGGUAUAGGCUUUCGGGCCUAGAGACCGGCGCACGGGUGCGUAACGCGUAUGCAAUCUACCUUUUACAGAGGGAUAGCCCAGAGAAAUUUGGAUUAAUACCUCAUAGUAUUAUGAAAUGGCAUCAUUUUAUAAUUAAAGUUCCAACGGUAAAAGAUGAGCAUGCGUCCCAUUAGCUAGUUGGUGUGGUAACGGCACACCAAGGCAAUGAUGGGUAGGGGUCCUGAGAGGGAGAUCCCCCACACUGGUACUGAGACACGGACCAGACUCCUACGGGAGGCAGCAGUGAGGAAUAUUGGACAAUGGGCGCAAGCCUGAUCCAGCCAUGCCGCGUGCAGGAUGACGGUCCUAUGGAUUGUAAACUGCUUUUAUACGGGAAGAAACCCUGGCUCGUGAGCCAGAUUGACGGUACCGUAAGAAUAAGGAUCGGCUAGCUCCGUGCCAGCAGCCGCGGUAAUACGGAGGAUCCAAGCGUUAUCCGGAAUCAUUGGGUUUAAAGGGUCCGUAAGCGGUUUUAUAAGUCAGUGGUGAAAUCCGGUAGCUCAACUAUCGAACUGCCAUUGAUACUGUAGAACUUGAAUUGCUGUGAAGUAACUAGAAUAUGUAGUGUAGCGGUGAAAUGCUUAGAUAUUACAUGGAAUACCAAUUGCGAGGGCAGGUUACUAACAUCAUAUUGACGCUGAUGGACGAAAGCGCGGGGAGCGAACAGGAUUAGAUACCCUGGUAGUCCACGCCGUAAACGAUGGAUACUAGCUGUUUGGUAGCAAUACUGAGUGGCUAAGCGAAAGUGAUAAGUAUCCCACCUGGGGAGUACGAACGCAAGUUUGAAACUCAAAGGAAUUGACGGGGGCCCGCACAAGCGGUGGAGCAUGUGGUUUAAUUCGAUGAUACGCGAGGAACCUUACCAGGGCUUAAAUGUAGAUUGACAGACUUGGAAACAGGUUUUUCUUCGGACAAUUUACAAGGUGCUGCAUGGUUGUCGUCAGCUCGUGCCGUGAGGUGUCAGGUUAAGUCCUAUAACGAGCGCAACCCCUGUCGUUAGUUGCCAGCGAGUCAUGUCGGGAACUCUAACGAGACUGCCGGUGCAAACCGUGAGGAAGGUGGGGAUGACGUCAAAUCAUCACGGCCCUUACGUCCUGGGCUACACACGUGCUACAAUGGCCGGUACAGAGAGCAGCCACUGGGCGACCAGGAGCGAAUCUACAAAACCGGUCACAGUUCGGAUCGGAGUCUGCAACCCGACUCCGUGAAGCUGGAGUCGCUAGUAAUCGGAUAUCAGCCAUGAUCCGGUGAAUACGUUCCCGGGCCU